GAUAAAGCAUUUCUUGAAGUUAAGAAACUUAUAAUUUUGUUAAACUUCGCAAACAGGGAAUUCUAUAGCCAAGAUACUGUGAAAAAGGGAGAAUAUUCUUGAAUUUCUGAAGUGAAAUUUGCAAACUAUCAUCAAGAUUUCCACACCACGAUUUUGUUAGCUACUUGAGUCAGAACAAGAUAACUCUGUAACAUUAAAGGAAUGUACACAAGAAUCAAAUGAUAAUUUUUAAUAUCAAAUCUUUGUAUCUAACCAGUCUAUAAUUUUGAAAAAAAUGUUAUGCUCACUAGAAAAACCAUGUCUUUCUAGGGCUCCUUUAAGAAGUUUGAGCCUUUAUUCUGAAGCAAAGCACUAAUGUGUCAUGGAAACAUCUGAGUCGUACUGACUAAAAUUGUGGUCUUCAGCUAGGAAGGACUGAGGAAUUGAUUUUUUUUUUUUUAAGGAAAAUAAAUACAGUUGGCCAAGAGAUGAAGGCAACUUUUAAUUUAAAGUGCUCUGUAAAUUCCAGACCAAGAAAUGAGGAGAAACUCGUAAAGAAUAAUAAUGUAGAUGGAAAUACACCGGCAAGUGAGGCCUACGAAGACUCGAAAUUUUCAUUUGGUUUCCUUAAAAUUUGAAGGUGACAGAAAAUUUUAAAUGAGAUCCAACUACAAUAUGUAGAUUUACAGCUGUUGUGCACAUGAUAUAACCAUUUGAGGAUCCCAAGUACAUAAACCCCUGC